rnacentral:rRNA from 1 species
UACGAAGGGGGCUAGCGUUGUUCGGAAUUACUGGGCGUAAAGCGCACGUAGGCGGACUUGUCAGUCAGGGGUGAAAUCCCGAGGCUUAACCUCGGAACUGCCUUUGAUACUGCAAGUCUUGAGGAUGAGAGAGGUAAGUGGAACUGCGAGUGUAGAGGUGAAAUUCGUAGAUAUUCGCAAGAACACCAGUGGCGAAGGCGGCUUACUGGCUCAUUUCUGACGCUGAGGUGCGAAAGCGUGGGAAGCAAACAGG